GGAGCCGGUCGGGCGGUCGCCGGCCCCCUUUGCGGGGGCGGGAGGAAAGUCCGAGCACCACAGGGCAGGGUGCUGGCUAACGGCCAGGGGGGGAAACCCCACGGAUAGCGCCACAGAAAGCAAACCGCCGCCGGCGCGCCGGCGGUAAGGGUGAAACGGUGAGGCAAGAGCUCACCAGCGGGGGCGGUGACGCCUCCGGCUAGGCAAACCCCACCCGGUGCAAGACCAAAUAGGGAGGCGUUGGAGGGCGGCCCGCCCGAGGCCUCCGGGUAGGUUGCUUGAGGCGCCGGGCAACCGGCGUCCUAGAGGAAUGACCGCCGCCCGGCCUUUUUGGCCGGGAACAGAACUCGGCUUACAGACCGACUCCGCCC
rfam:Desulfarculus baarsii DSM 2075, complete genome.